UAUUAAGUUGGUGCAAAAGUAAUUGCGGUUUUUGCCAUUAUUUUUAGUGGUAAAAACCGCAAUUACUUUUGCACCAAUCUAAUAC
rnacentral:pre_miRNA from 1 species